rnacentral:rRNA from 1 species
UGGGGAAUUGUUCACAAUGGGCGCAAGCCUGAUGACGCAACGCCGCGUGGAGGAUGAAGGUCUUCGGAUUGUAAACUCCUGUUGCUCGGGACGAAUGGCUCCAACCUAAUACGUUGGAGUGUGACGGUACCGAGUGAGGAAGCCCCGGCUAACUCUGUGCCAGCAGCCGCGGUAAUACAGAGGGGGCAAGCGUUGUUCGGAAUUACUGGGCGUAAAGGGCGCGUAGGCGGCCUUCUAAGUCGAACGUGAAAUCCCCGGGCUCAACCCGGGAACUGCGUCCGAGACUGGAAGGCUUGAAUCCGGGAGAGGGAUGCGGAAUUCCAGGUGUAGCGGUGAAAUGCGUAGAUAUCUGGAGGAACACCGGUGGCGAAGGCGGCAUCCUGGACCGGCAUUGACGCUGAGGCGCGAAAGCUAGGGGAGCAAA